rnacentral:rRNA from 1 species
AGAGUUUGAUCAUGGCUCAGAAUCAACGCUGGCGGCGCGCUUAACACAUGCAAGUCGAACGAGAAAGGGGAGCAAUCCCUGAGUAAAGUGGCGUACGGGUGAGUAACACGUGGGUAAUCUACCUCUGGGUGGGGAAUAACGCUGGGAAACCGGCGCUAAUACCGCAUAACACUGAAAGGUCAAAGGCGCAAGUCGCCUGGAGAGGAGCCCGCGGCUGAUUAGCUAGUUGGUGAGGUAAAGGCUCACCAAGGCUUUGAUCGGUAGCCGGCCUGAGAGGGCACACGGCCACACUGGCACUGAAACACGGGCCAGACUCCUACGGGAGGCAGCAGUGGGGAAUCUUGCACAAUGGGGGCAACCCUGAUGCAGCGACGCCGCGUGAGCGAUGAAGCCCUUCGGGGUGUAAAGCUCUUUCGGCAGGGACGAUAAUGACGGUACCUGAAGAAGAAGCUGCGGCUAACUACGUGCCAGCAGCCGCGGUA